rnacentral:tRNA from 1 species
AGGACUAUGGCUUAGUUGGUUAUUGUUCUUGUCUAGUAAACAGGAGAAGGUGGGUUUAAAUCCCAAUAGUCUCA